rnacentral:rRNA from 1 species
GACGAACGCUGGCGGCGUGCCUAAUACAUGCAAGUCGAACGAACUCUGGUAUUGAUUGGUGCUUGCAUCAUGAUUUARCAUUUGAGUGAGUGGCGAACUGGUGAGUAACACGUGGGAAACCUGCCCAGAAGCGGGGGAUAACACCUGGAAACAGAUGCUAAUACCGCAUAACAACUUGGACCGCAUGGUCCGAGUUUGAAAGAUGGCUUCGGCUAUCACUUUUGGAUGGUCCCGCGGCGUAUUAGCUAGAUGGUGGGGUAACGGCUCACCAUGGCAAUGAUACGUAGCCGACCUGAGAGGGUAAUCGGCCACAUUGGGACUGAGACACGGCCCAAACUCCUACGGGAGGCAGCAGUAGGGAAUCUUCCACAAUGGACGAAAGUCUGAUGGAGCAACGCCGCGUGAGUGAAGAAGGGUUUCGGCUCGUAAAACUCUGUUGUUAAAGAAGAACAUAUCUGAGAGUAACUGUUCAGGUAUUGACGGUAUUUAACCAGAAAGCCACGGCUAACUACGUGCCAGCAGCCGCGGUAAUACGUAGGUGGCAAGCGUUGUCCGGAUUUAUUGGGCGUAAAGCGAGCGCAGGCGGUUUUUUAAGUCUGAUGUGAAAGCCUUCGGCUCAACCGAAGAAGUGCAUCGGAAACUGGGAAACUUGAGUGCAGAAGAGGACAGUGGAACUCCAUGUGUAGCGGUGAAAUGCGUAGAUAUAUGGAAGAACACCAGUGGCGAAGGCGGCUGUCUGGUCUGUAACUGACGCUGAGGCUCGAAAGUAUGGGUAGCAAACAGGAUUAGAUACCCUGGUAGUCCAUACCGUAAACGAUGAAUGCUAAGUGUUGGAGGGUUUCCGCCCUUCAGUGCUGCAGCCAACGCAUUAAGCAUUCCGCCUGGGGAGUACGGCCGCAAGGCUGAAACUCAAAGGAAUUGACGGGGGCCCGCACAAGCGGUGGAGCAUGUGGUUUAAUUCGAAGCUACGCGAAGAACCUUACCAGGUCUUGACAUACUAUGCAAAUCUAAGAGAUUAGACGUUCCCUUCGGGGACAUGGAUACAGGUGGUGCAUGGUUGUCGUCAGCUCGUGUCGUGAGAUGUUGGGUUAAGUCCCGCAACGAGCGCAACCCUUAUUAUCAGUUGCCAGCAUUAAGUUGGGCACUCUGGUGAGACUGCCGGUGACAAACCGGAGGAAGGUGGGGAUGACGUCAAAUCAUCAUGCCCCUUAUGACCUGGGCUACACACGUGCUACAAUGGAUGGUACAACGAGUUGCGAACUCGCGAGAGUAAGCUAAUCUCUUAAAGCCAUUCUCAGUUCGGAUUGUAGGCUGCAACUCGCCUACAUGAAGUCGGAAUCGCUAGUAAUCGCGGAUCAGCAUGCCGCGGUGAAUACGUUCCCGGGCCUUGUACACACCGCCCGUCACACCAUGAGAGUUUGUAACACCCAAAGUCGGUGGGGUAACCUUUUAGGAACCAGCCGCCUAAGGUGGGACAGAUGAUUAGGGUG